CAGCCGCCACGGUAAUACGUAGGUGGCAAGCGUUGUCCGGAAUUAUUGGGCGUAAAGGGCUCGCAGGCGGUUUCUUAAGUCUGAUGUGAAAGCCCCCGGCUCAACCGGGGAGGGUCAUCGGAAACUGGGAAACUUGAGUGCAGAAGAGGAGAGUGGAAUUCCACGUGUAGCGGUGAAAUGCGUAGAGAUGUGGAGGAACACCAGUGGCGAAGGCGACUCUCUGGUCUGUAACUGACGCUGAGGAGCGAAAGCGUGGGGAGCGAACAGGAUUAGAGACCCGAGUAGUCCCUGUCUCUUAUAC
rnacentral:rRNA from 1 species